UGGUAUUUCUGUGUUUCCUUUUCCAAC
rnacentral:piRNA from 2 species